rnacentral:snRNA from 1 species
AUCAGCCCAAGUAUUAAUAACACG